CUUUCAACAACGGAUCUCUUNGNUNUGGCAUCGAUGAAGAACGCAGCGAAAUGCGAUAAGUAAUGUGAAUUGCAGAAUUCAGUGAAUCAUCGAAUCUUUGAACGCACAUUGCGCCCCUUGGUAUUCCGAGGGGCAUGCCUGUUCGAGCGUCAUU
rnacentral:rRNA from 1 species